CUACGAAGGGUGCAAGCGUUAAUCGGAAUUACUGGGCGUAACGCGCGCGUAGGUGGUUUUGUAAGUUGGAGGUGAAAGCCCCGGGCUCAACCUGGGAAUUGCCUCCAAAACUGCAUGACUAGAGUACGGUAGAGGGUAGUGGAAUUUCCUGUGUAGUGGUGAAAUGCGUAGAUAUAGGAAGGAACACCAGUGGCGAAGGCGACUACCUGGACGGAUACUGACACUGAGGGGCGAAAGCGUGGGGAGCAAACAGGAUUAGAUCCCCUGGUAGUCCACGCCGUAAACGAUGUCAACUAGCCGUUGGGAUCCUUGAGAUCUUAGUGGCGCAGCUAACGCAUUAAGUUGACCGCCUGGGGAGUACGGCCGCAAGGUUAAAACUCAAAUGAAUUGACGGGG
rnacentral:rRNA from 1 species